rnacentral:rRNA from 1 species
AUUGAACGCUGGCGGCAGGCUUAACACAUGCAAGUCGAGCGGAGAUGAGGUGCUUGCACCUUAUCUUAGCGGCGGACGGGUGAGUAAUGCUUAGGAAUCUGCCUCUUAGUGGGGGACAACAUUCCGAAAGGAAUGCUAAUACCGCACACGUCCUACGGGAGAAAGCAGGGGAUCUUCGGACCUUGCGCUAAUAGAUGAGCCUAAGUCGGAUUAGCUAGUUGGUGGGGUAAAGGCCUACCCAGGCGACGAUCUGUAGCGGGUCUGAGAGGAUGAUCCGCCACACGAGGACUGUGACACGGCCCAGACUCAUACGGGAGGAAGCAGUGGGGAAUAUUGGACAAUGGGGGGCACCCUGAGCCAGCCCUGCCGCGUGUGUGAAGAAGGCCUUAUGGUUGGAACGAACUUUAAGCGAGGAGGAGGCUACUGAGACUAAUACUCUUGGAUAGUGGACGUUACUCGCAGAAUAAGCACCGGCUAACUCUGUGCCAGCCGCCGCCGUAAUAC